CAAGACCAAAGUGGGGGACCUUCGGGCCUCAUGCCAUCAGAUGUGCCCAGAUGGGAUUAGCUAGUAGGUGGGGUAACGGCUCACCUAGGCGACGAUCCCUAGCUGGUCUGAGAGGAUGACCAGCCACACUGGAACUGAGACACGGUCCAGACUCCUACGGGAGGCAGCAGUGGGGAAUAUUGCACAAUGGGCGCAAGCCUGAUGCAGCCAUGCCGCGUGUGUGAAGAAGGCCUUCGGGUUGUAAAGCACUUUCAGCGGGGAGGAAGGCGGUGAGGUUAAUAACCUCAUCGAUUGACGUUACCCGCAGAAGAAGCACCGGCUAACUCCGUGCCAGCAGCCGCGGUAAUACGGAGGGUGCAAGCGUUAAUCGGAAUUACUGGGCGUAAAGCGCACGCAGGCGGUCUGUCAAGUCGGAUGUGAAAUCCCCGGGCUUAACCUGGGAACUGCAUUCGAAACUGGCAGGCUAGAGUCUUGUAGAGGGGGGGAGAAUUCCAGGUGUAGCGGUGAAAUGCGUAGAGAUCUGGAGGAAUACCGGUGGCGAAGGCGGCCCCCUGGACAAAGACUGACGCUCAGGUGCGAAAGCGUGGGGAGCAAACAGGAUUAGAUACCCUGGUAGUCCACGCCGUAAACGAUGUCGAUUUGGAGGUUGUGCCCUUGAGGCGUGGCUUCCGGAGCUAACGCGUUAAAUCGACCGCCUGGGGAGUACGGCCGCAAGGUUAAAACUCAAAUGAAUUGACGGGGGCCCGCACAAGCGGUGGAGCAUGUGGUUUAAUUCGAUGCAACGCGAAGAACCUUACCUGGUCUUGACAUCCACAGAACUUUCCAGAGAUGGAUUGGUGCCUUCGGGAACUGUGAGACAGGUGCUGCAUGGCUGUCGUCAGCUCGUGUUGUGAAAUGUUGGGUUAAGUCCCGCAACGAGCGCAACCCUUAUCCUUUGUUGCCAGCGGUCCGGCCGGGAACUCAAAGGAGACUGCCAGUGAUAAACUGGAGGAAGGUGGGGAUGACGUCAAGUCAUCAUGGCCCUUACGACCAGGGCUACACACGUGCUACAAUGGCAUAUACAAAGAGAAGCGACCUCGCGAGAGCAAGCGGACCUCAUAAAGUAUGUCGUAGUCCGGAUUGGAGUCUGCAACUCGACUCCAUGAAGUCGGAAUCGCUAGUAAUCGUAGAUCAGAAUGCUACGGUGAAUACGUUCCCGGGCCUUGUACACACCGCCCGUCACACCAUGGGAGUGGGUUGCAAAAGAAGUAGGUAGCUUAACCUUCGGGAGGGCGCUUACCACUUUGUGAUUCAUGACUGGGGUGAAGUCGUAACAAGGUAACCGUAGGGGAACCUGCGGUUGGAUCACCUCCUUACCUUAAAGAA
rnacentral:rRNA from 1 species